rnacentral:lncRNA from 1 species
UGGGCGAGUUGAGCGAGUUGGUGUAUACUCGUCAUUAAAGAAGGUGCGAAAAAAAUCACAACAUAGAGAAAUGAACGGGACAGGACGACGCGCUACAAGCAAGUGAAGUUUAAUCGAAACCACAGAAUGAUAUAAACACAGAGUACGAAAAAAUUACAAGAAUUAAUAACCACACAUCCACAGAAAGAGCACAAACAUGAAUAAAAAAGCCAAGCACGUGCUAAACUUCAGUUGUUAGCAGUGCGUCGUCCUGUCCCCUUCGUUUCUGUGUGUUGUGGUUUUGU